UGGCCCAGCCCAAACGCACCACGGCAGCGACGUGGGGCGCCAGACACGAGCCAGGGAGCGUCUGGGCAGGCGCGCGAGGAGCCGACCGCUCGAGCGGGCAUCUUCCGAUUACAGAUCGAACAAUCUUCAGCCCUAUCCUUUUCCCCCAAACCUAGCACUACCUGAAGGCUCUGGCGGCGGCGAGCGACUCUAGGUCCGGCGGCCGGCCUUCUCCUCCCUCGGUUAGCCGCUUCCCCCAGACCCCAGUGCCGGCCAUCUCCCUCGGUCCCUCCCCUACGGCUCUACCCUCUGCCUCCGGCGUCCGGCCCUCUUCUCCGCGGCUCCACCAGUCCGCCUCCGGCCUCCCCGACGCCGCGACAGCGCCAUCCAUCAGUCAGCAGAUGAAGAAGAAGGGGAACAAAACUAUGAUGAAGAAGAAGGAUGUUAGCAUAUUUCAAAUGUGGGACAAAUCUUCAAAGACAAGGAAACUAACUUCUACAUCCACACCAACUCCUCUUUCCGUUGAGGUUGAGAGCAAUCUGCAGCUAGCACUAGUGCAAACUUCUUAAGUUGGUUUCUCAUGUGCAAUUAAGCAUGUUCAUUUCUCAUGUGCGUAAGGAUAAAAGGUUUAGCAAGUUGAAGAAUCUAUGUGAGCUUUCAGUUUUGAUGGUUGAGACAAGAAAGAAUGAACAAUAUUAUAUUGUUUACAAAAUUCUUAAGUUGGUUCUCAUUCUUCCGGUAGCCACUGCUAGCGUUGAGAGGGUAUUUUCCUCGAUGAAAUACGUGAAGAAUUCACUCAGAAACAAAAUGGGUGAUGAAUAUUUGAACGAUUGCUUGGUUACAUUCGUUGAGAGAGAAUUCUUCAGGCAAGUGAAAGAUGAGGAUGUCAUCAAUCUCUUCCGAAAAGGGGAUCGUAAAGUUAUAUUGUAAUUUCCUUUGCUAUUUGUAAUCUUCGUAAUUGUUAGAGUUAUUGCCACAAUGAUAUUUUGCUACUAUUAUCAAUGUAUGGUCAUUGAGUCAUUGAUGUUAUCAUCUUGCUGUACAUUUAUUGUUCUAUUGCACUGCUUUGGCAUAUCUUUUUAAAAAGAACACCCAACAGCAAAUUCCUGGCUCCGCCACUGGACCAUAGCACUAUCACCGGCUUGCAUGUGUAUCUUGUAAGGCAAAUCUAUUCAUGGAGACAGUUGAAUAAUUUGUGGUGUAAAUGCGAGAAUUACGAUGAAUAAAAGGAGAAUGGAAGAGCAGAAAAUUUGCAUCUUGUUCACAGCACAAAACCACCGUCUCCAUUGUUGCAUGCUUGUUUUCUUCCCUCUCAGACGGCAGCGGCGCUACCCUGUAGUUUCUACUUUCUUGCAUCGGACGGGUCUGACAGGCAGUAAGGUAGUGCUUCAUACGCCCCCUGCAAGGUCCAUCAGCCACGCUGGUAAUGUGGUCCAUGUACCGUCGCACAGGCGUGACAAAGAGCAGAGGUUCAGUCGUCAGUCCAUAUAACCUCAGAGUUCAGAGAUUCAAAGUCAACAAGCAGAGAAAGGGCACUUGCAAAAAUAAAAACGAGCUGAGAAAGGGAAGUACUAGUAAACGAAAGCAAUGAUAGAUAGUGCACUAGCUUGUUCAAUGGCAUUAAGGGAAAACAGGAUCCAUUCAUUCUAAUUAUAAAUCACCAUUAUGGUAAGCUGCACUGGAAACUUCAGGCCAGUACAAUGGCUGCACGGAGAUACAAACUUAACUCUAGUACUCGUUGGAGGAAUAGAUGCUUGAUAUAGUACUUCAGUUUGCAUCACGAUGUGAUGACAACUUCUACCUUGUGUACAACUAUGCCAAUGUAAAAAAAAGGUGGAUCCCGUGGAACUAAUACUCGCCUUCUUCUGUAGAUCCAAAAGAGCGUAGAUGCGUGAAAGGAAGUGGUGAAUGAUGUCGCUAUAGUUCUUGACAAGGCUAAAAUGUCACAAAAAUCACAUAGAGAAGUGUAUCAAUGUGAGUGUAAAAUUAAACCGUUUUAAGUACACACAGCAUAUCACAAAAAACUUGCCUUAAGGAAUAGGCACGUGUGUGCGUGCCGGAUUAGCCUUUCCCUUUCUUAAUUCUUAUACUACUGUUCAAUACAAUGUAAUCGCCUCUCCACCAAAAAAAAUACAAUGUAAUCGCCAUUCCUACGUAAGUGACCAGAAAAAAACACAUUCAGACAAUCAGACGAAAUGCAUAGUGAACAAUGACCCCGACAGCAGAUUAAAAAGGAAAAAAGAACCAAGAGACAAAGCGAGAGGGUCCCUCGCGUCACCCCCGGGCGAUCAGAUCUUUCGCCGCGCCGCCUCCCCUCAUCCCCCUUCACUCCCUCGCUGUCACUGGAGACGGCCGCCGGCAAAGCCCGCGCGGGCGCCGGGGAAGGUGGAGGCGGGGAUCUCGGCGCCCGGAUCGAUCCCCUCGGCAUGCGGGCCGGAGUAUCGCAUCAGUGGCCUGCGGAUCCUUGGGCGGCGGCCCUGUCGGCGAGGCGGCGUCGUCCAGCGGCUGGCGACGUCUGCAGGCGACGCUGGCCAGCGUGCUCGGCCGCGCGGGCGGCGGGUCGCUGGUGGAGUCCGGCCAUGGCGCGGUGCUCCAUUGCGUCAGAUCUGGAGGUUCCCCUUUCUUUUGCUGCAUCUCUCGUCGUCCCGGUGGUUUUGCGGCUGCAGGCUCCUGUGAUGGUGAGCCCUGGUGGUGUACUUUGGGUCUGGGAGAAACCUUGGCCGGUCUGGCCGGCCCGGCGGCGGCGACGCCCAUGGGCGCCGCUUUCCUUCAUGAAGGUGCAGGGGCACUGGGGCUCGGUUGGGAGUGCAGAGGAACUGCAGGUGAAGGGAAUGGGACCAGUGGCAGCAGGUGGUGUUCACGAAGGAGGAGCGGCGUUGCAUCUGACACGUCGACAACGAUGGGUCUCAGUGGCAAGGAGCAGCGAGGUCUUGCUGCUGGGCGUGUGUUGAUUGACGAGCGCAUGAUGGUGGCGCCAUCUGGGGUCCUGGUGGUGUCGACGGCAGCUAGACCGGGCAAGAUUGAUGCAUCUGUAUAACUCUGAAGAUGGAGCGGUGGCAGUUGGCGGCGGCGGCCUCUGAGAGUGCGCCGGACCGGUGUGUGUCCAUACUCGGCAAGUGGCUUGAUUGGGGCCUCAAGUCUUGGAUGUUAGGCUUGCUGCGAGGUCUGUUUGGCAUUAGGCCCGGACUUCCAACAUUUUUUCAUCAACUGGAUAGGAGUAGGGAAAGAUGUUGCCUAGACUAUGGCUUCAGACUUACUGUUGUAUUUCUUUAUAGGAUCUUUUGGGAAUAAUUAAUAAAACGGCUGCAUGCAUCGUCCAGAUGCAAAGGCCGGGGGUCUUUCUCUUUAAUAAAAA